rnacentral:lncRNA from 1 species
UGCGUUUUCUUUCACCCUUCUGGGUUUCCGCAGGACUGCGGCGGGGGUCUCACGAUUCUAUCUUCUUCCUACUGCACUCAGCAACGAGGACUCUCCGUAACGUUUGCAGUACCCUCCGAACCGCAGAGGGGGAACUACUUUUUCUCCCGCGGGGGCACUACUUCGCGGAGGCGUCAGCACUGGCGGCGCGCACGGCAUGGCGGCGGAGGCGCGCCUGAGGUAGAGGGACGCCGGCCCGGUCAGGCCUCGGCGCGGCCUACACGCUUUGCUCGCCCGCUCCCGCCCCAGCUCCCGCCCGGCCAUGGCGGAGCCCUCGCCCGCCCGACGCCCGGUGCCUCUCAUCGAGUCGGAGCUGUACUUCCUCAUCGCCC